rnacentral:rRNA from 1 species
AGUGAACGCUGGCGGUAGGCCUAACACAUGCAAGUCGAACGGCAGCACAGUAAGAGCUUGCUCUUACGGGUGGCGAGUGGCGGACGGGUGAGGAAUACAUCGGAAUCUACUUUUUCGUGGGGGAUAACGUAGGGAAACUUACGCUAAUACCGCAUACGACCUACGGGUGAAAGCAGGGGAUCUUCGGACCUUGCGCGAUUGAAUGAGCCGAUGUCGGAUUAGCUAGUUGGCGGGGUAAAGGCCCACCAAGGCGACGAUCCGUAGCUGGUCUGAGAGGAUGAACGGCCACAAUGGAACAGAGACACGGGGCAGACUCCUACGGGAGGCAGCAGUAGGGAAUCUUGAGCAAGGGGCGAAAGUGUGACGGAGCAACGCCGCGUGAGGGAUGACGGUCUUCGGAUCGGAAAACUCUGUUACUAGGGAAGAAGAAAUGUGUAAGGAACUAUGCACGGCGUGACGGUACCUAAGCAGAAAGCAACGGCUAACUACGUG